ACGCACGGACGUCCUCCCGAGGGAGGCGGGAACUCGGUUCGCGGGCGCGGAGCGGUCCCGGACCCUCGAAGCCAGUUCCUUGCGUCAGUGCCGCGGCUCUUUAACCCGAAGGGAGAUUUUUUUUUUAAAGCCAGAGGCCGUUGACGCUGGGUAGCCUUUGGCUGGGGUUGGUUAUGAACUCCGACACAGCGGUGGUGCAUACGGAAGGGUGGUAGCCGGGACGGUUCCGGUCCCUGCGAGCGUGUCCCGGGCGUCUCCGCGGAAGUUUCACCUGCCGCGCCGCUCGAUCGCCGGGACCUCCUGGGUCUCUGCUGUGCGUAGACCAGCCGCGUUCCUUUGGGUGGCCGUGGAGCACUAAAGCGGGGCUUAUUGUUUGUUUGGUUUUGGUUUUUUUUUUUGUUUUUUUUUUGCUUUUUGUUUUUGAACUGAGGAUCUAUCAGAAAUAGGCUGAAAAGACCGAGUGAGGAAGAAACUCUUUAACAGCUAUUUUUGGCAUCUUAAGGUGAUUCUCAGGAGUUGCUACGUAUCAGAAUCAACGGAGGAGUUUUUCAAAGCAGAGAUGCCAGGGCCAGUCCCCAGACCUGAAUCAGGAAGUGAGGGAGAGAGCCGACGGAGGGGGAAAAGUCCCUUCAGCUGAUUCUUAUGUAUGUCAGUUUGGAGAGCCACGGAUAUAACCAAUACUGCGUCCUUCUGAGGUCCCACUUUAAGUGUCCUGGGUUGAGCUGGGUGACAAAUGCCCUUACAACAAUGGUAGUAGAAGCUUUCAGGCCAAGCGCAGUGGCUCACGCCUGUAAUCCCAGCACUUUGGGAGGCCGAGGCGGGCAGAUCACUUGAGGUCAGGUCAGGAGUUCGUGGGCAGCCUGGCCAAUAUGGUGAAACCCCGUCUCUACUAAAAAUAUAAAAAUUAGCCGGGUGUAAUGGCGUGCGCCUGUAAUCCGAGCUACUCAGGAGGCUGAGGCAGGAGAAUGGCUUGAACCCGGCAGGAGGCGGAGGCUGCAGUGAGCCGAGAUAGCGCCACUACACUCCAGCCUGGGCGACAGAGCGAAACUCCGUCUCAAAAAAAAAAGAAAAGCUUUCAGAAAGUUGCCUUUUUAUUUGAAAAAAAAAAAAAGGUAUUUGGAGGAUUUUAUGUAGUGCAACAACUGUUUUAGUGUUAAGAUCAUGAAAUGCUUUGGUCUCCUGUUAGUGUUCCCAAGAAAGGUGCUGUAAGUCCUUAAACCACGUGAAAACUUUUUUUUUUUUUGAGACCUCCUCGUUCUGUCGCCCUGGCUGGAGUGCAGUGGCGUCAUCACAUUUCAUUGCAGCCUCGACUUCCCAGGCUCAAGCCGUGCUCCUCGCAAUUACCUGGGACCGUAGAUGCACGCCACCAUGACUUAGCUGAUCUUUUUUUUCCCUUUGCCUCGAAGAGGCUGGGGUCUCACCAUGUUGCCCAGGCUGAAACUCCUGGGCCCGAGCGAUUGGCCCGCCUCAGCCGCUGGAAAUGCUAGCAUUACAGGCAUGAGCCACUGCGCCCAGCCUCCUGAAAACUUUUUAAAAUUUAUUCAAAAAUGUUUCCUGACCUCUUUAUUGUCAUAGUGUUUUAGAGAUACACUGGGAUUACAAAACAGAGGAGCUCCCUGCAUUCAAGGGGUUUACAAUCUAAUAGAGAAAAAGAUUGAGAAUAGAUACAUGCCAGGGAGUGGUAAGUGCUGUGAAGAAAAGAAUAAGUGGGGUAAAAGGGGUUAGAGGUGAUUGAAGAAGGCCCCUGUUGAUCAGAUGAAGGAACCUGUCUUGGAGAAGAGCAGGAGAGGAACACAUAACAAGUGCAAAGGGCCUGAGGGAAACGGAUUCUUGGCUUGUUAGAGGAGGAGUCAGUGUGGCUGGAGUGGCUUGAACAAGGGAGAGAAUAGUAGGACAUGAGAUAAGAGAGUUAUUAAGGGAGCCAGGUCAUGUACAGAAAUGGUCUUCAAUUUUUUUUUUAACUUUUGUGCCCUUUGAAAGAAUUUUGGAAGGCUGUUUUCUUUCCUCAAACAUUGAUGGAAACAGCCCCCAUGAAGUUCACUGUGUGCUCUGAGAAGGCAGUGCCUGGAGUAUAACUCAUGAAAUAUUUAGGAUCAUUGAAACAGACCCAGUUACAUCCUUGAUUUUCUGUGGGAGCCCAGAAAUCUUGCAGGAGAAACUAUGAAAUAAGUCCACAGAUGAGGCUGAGAUACGAUAAUGCACAAACCUGUCUAAUAGACUGCAUAGCAUGGGGUUCAUUAUGCCCUGGGACAAAAUGCUUGGUUUGAAUCUGGUUCCAUCACCUACUAGCUAUGUGAUUUAGGGAAACUUACUUAGGUUGCCUCAGUUCCCUCAGUCAUGAAAGGGUGUUUGCUACGGGUAGGACCUACCUCAAGGUUGCCUCACAAACAAUAUUUGUAAAACGUUAAUAACAGCACCCAGCACAUGGUGAACAUGGAUGUUAAAGUAGACCCAAAGUUCCCUGAAGGAAACAGAACUGGCAGGAGAAACACAUGCCACUGAGAGAAAAUUUCAAGAAGAGGAAUCAUGCUGUGGCCCAAACUGAGCAGCAGGUAGAGGUAGAGGCUGUGUCCAGCCAUUUUCCUGACCUAGGCUACUAUCCCUUGUUCCUCUGGUUUGAGCAUUAUCAGAAAAAACCAGUUCUGAAAUAAAGGAAAGAGCUCUUAGGAGGUUCAUAGCAGUUCUGCUAUGAAGAAAACUCCUCUAAGUUGCUGGUAAACAAUAGUGGAAGGAGUUUUCCAGUUGUCUAGGAAAGAGAAAGGGCAUUGGAGGUGAGUGACCCAGGUAGGUAAGCAAUGGUGAGAACACGAUGUGUCCAUCAUCUGGGCACAGGAGGUUGGCAAAAGCAAGGCAGUAGCCCAAGGGUAGCGUGAAGAUUUGCAAAGGCUGGUCUGCACCUUCUGGACAGAGCAGCCAUGCUGAACAGCAGGAACAGAAGAGUACAUGAGAACCGGCAGAAGGAUGCUGAGCUGCAGCUGAAAUCUGGGAUAUUUCUGUAAAUGUACAAUACUUGCACUCACCAAUGGGUGAGGCCAGAGGAUCUAAAGGUGACAUUUUAUCUUUUAAAGUUCACUUCUCAACUGGGUGUGGUGCCUUACACCUGUAAUACCAGCACUUUGGAGGAAAACAGGAGGAUCACUGGAGGCCAGUAGUUCAAGACCAGCCUGGGCGACAUAGCAAGACCCCCAUCUCUACAAAAAAAAUUUAUUAAUACAAAUUUUAAAAAUAAUGUAAAGUUUAGUUCUCAUCAUUCCAUGGUGUACCAAGUACACUUUGACUUCUAGGUACUCUGUUGUCUGAGUGAGAACUAUUAGUACCAAGAAAAGCAGGACAGAUAGCAGAGUUCUGAGUCUAAUUACUAUCUAUUGGCUUUUCUGUGUCUCUAAGGCCUUUCAGGGGCACGUUGUAAUUCUAGUAAUAAACACCACAUUUGAACAGCAGUUUACAGUUGACAAAGUGCUUUCACACACAUCUCUUAAUUUUUGCAACCAGUAAAAUAUAGCUCAACAAUAAAUAGACUUCCUUAUGUGAAUGUACUGUAAUGUAUUAUCUAUUCAUAGACAAUAAGGUUUUCAAUUUUUUACUAUUAUAAACAAUACUGUGAAAAGCAUUGUGAUGCAUAAUUAUUUGCAUAUCUAUAAUUAUUUCUUCUGAAUAUUCCUAAAAGAAUUGCUGAUUCAAAGAAUAUGCCCAUUGUAAAAGUUUUUAAUAUGUAAAUUUAAAGUAUUCCAUAUGGAUUAUUAAAUUGUUUUGAUGUAUUUUGCUACUAUAAAUAAAAAAGUGAAAUUAACAUGCAA
rnacentral:lncRNA from 1 species